AGGACACUGAGAAGGGCAUCCUGGCCUGGGCAGGGGGCACAGUCCAGCUGCCUGCCCGUGCCCUCUUGGAGGACACACUGUCCCUCAUGGCAACUCCUGUCAGGACACAGAAACUCAAGUUCACAGAUGCAAAGACCAGGGCUAGGGGUGGCUGCUGGGGCCUGGUCUGUCCAUGUCCAGCAGGGCCACUGCACUGCAUGCUGCGAGGGGACUUCCUGUGGCUGAAGCACACGUCUGUGUGUCUGCAAUGGAAGAGGUCUUCGCUCCAGCCCCGCCUGAUCCCCCCACCGGAACCCCCAAUGCACCUGCGGCUCCCUCUCUCCUGGACACGUGGGCUUUCCUACGAGGGCUUCUAUUCAUUUAAAAUUUAGGAAGUGGUGCAGGGAGGGGGGGUUGGCUUUUCAAGCCUGCAACGUCCUGAGAGCCUUUCACUGCAGCCCAGUGACCAGGAGCAAUGGCAGCAGGGCCACCAAGGCCUCAGGUAGAGCCCAUGGAUGCUGCCUGAAGCUCUGCUCUGGUGCCAGCUCACGCGCCCUCCCCUCCUGCCUUUCUGGGGGUGGGAGGCAUUUUAGGCUGGCUUUCUACCCCUGUCCUUCUGUGACCUUGGUGGGGAGGUGGCUUCUGAAUGACAUGCUCCCUGGGAGGACAUGCCACCUUCAGUCUGAGAUAGGGGCUUCGGUUGUCCUGCGAGAGAAGAAGAAUGCAGAGGGUUCAUCUGACUCAGUGUCUUUGAAACUCGGAGCCCAGCAGCAACAUCCACUCUGAAUAAUGCAGGGCUUCUAAUUAAUGCUGUUAAUCUCAUAAAUCCAUGUGGCACCUUCCCAAGGAGACUGCUCAGUGUCCUACCUGGGGCUCAGAUGGCCUCAGUCUGCAUUCUGGCUCUGCUGUGCCCUGGUUGCGUGACCAGCUAGCCACUUGAACUGUCAGAUUCCAGCAUCCCUGGCUGGCAAUGCCUGGUACUGAUGAGGUAAAGGUCACCGGGAAACUCUGGCUCCUCCCAGGUGUCCAGGGAGCCCUAGUCUGGCCUGCCGUCUUACAGCUCCUGCCUGGGUGGCUCGGAGCCCAUAGAGCAAGGGUGUGUGGUGGCCUCAGCCUGGCCUCUCCUGCACUCCUCUGUUCCCAGUUAGGAGAGACCACAGGCAGUGAGGAAGGAGCUGGGUCCCCAGUGUUCCCUUCCAGCCCCUCAUCCCAAUAAGCAGGUGGGGUGGAGAGGGGACAAGGUUCCCACGGCCUGUCCCGCUCCAUCACUGUCUGGGUCUGAGCCACGUGUCCAGUGGCCCCAUUCUUCCCUCUCCUUGCUGAGCCGGUCUGUCUGGGAGACUCGGGUGGUGUGCCUGGGGCCUUCAAGCCCUCUUCUCCAACGUGCAGUGUCCUCCCUCAUACUCAGAGCUCAGAAGCCGGUCCAGCUGGUGUCUGCCACCAGGCCAGAGCAGCCCAGGUCAGGCACCUACUGAAUCCCCCCUGAACCCCUCAGCUUACAAUGUCCCCACCCCCUGGCCCUGGGUGGCUGCCAACCACUGCCUACUGCCCUCCUACACAGCCAACCCUCCCCUGCACCCUCCCUCUGUGCCUUCUAAACACCCUCCUCUCUGCCCAGGGGCAGCACCUAUAAAAUGGGGGAGGAGUCCAGCCUCUCAGGCCUGGGAGGGGCCAGGAUUCCUGCCACUGUGGUGGGAAUCAGGGGACUCUCAGGACACCUGGUCUCCCAGGGAGCACGGGGCUGGAGAUGGUGGUGUCCGAAGAAUUCAGGGACCAAGUCUGGUCUAUUUGGCAGUGAAGUCAGAAGUGGCUCCCAGGACAGUAGCAAGGAGAAGGGGUCACUCCGGGGUGGCGAGGGGCAGUUAAGGGUGACAGGAGGUUUCCCUCUUACCCAAGAAGGGUCCCCGGCUCCCUUCCCAGGACUGCAGAUGGCAGGUUCUCCAGGCAGAUGGACUUAGGGGAGGGCCAUUUUGAAACCUUGUGAAGAGAGGGGACGACCCGUGGGGGGAGCCACCCUGCACGCUCCUGGCAGUUGCAGAAGAGGGGACGUAGGAGGGCCAGAGAGGCACCUACGUGGUCACUCAUUUUCUGUGACUCUGAGCUGCCAUGUCACUUUUCUUUUCCUCAGUCCUCGUGCAGGGGGACUCAUGUCCUGGCCAACUAGGAAGACGAAAGACCUGCCUUCUCCAGGGCUUGAUGGCCACACAGCUCGCUACCUGUCCCCCUCUGUCCCUGGACAAGCUAGCUCGGCCCCUGGCUCUGAGGUUCUCUGUCCAGCGGAGGGUGGUGUGGACAGGAGGUCCCAGGGCUUCCUCCAGUCCUGACAUCCCAGGACCCUCCCACUGGCCUUUCUGCCGUCCAUGCUCAGGGGAGCGCUGGACCUCCCCAACAUGAACUACAGGAGGCUGGGCCCACCUCAGCCUCCUCCUCAGCAAAAUGGACUGUGGUCUGUUGCCACCAUGUGCAGGUGGUUCUGUGUUCUCUGUGACAGGCCACCCCUCCCACCACAGCUGUCCCCUCUCCUCCUGACCACUGGAGCAGGGUUCCUGGGAAGGAGGGGAGCCUGGAUGCAGCUGCCCUGACCAACCCCUUCACUGUCACCUCUGUCCUGAAGGGGCCCGGGCUCUCCCCCUCUGUACUAUUGUACCCCUGUGACUCCUGUGACCCUAGGAAUAGAACCCAGUGCAGUGGCCUGGCCUCUCUGAAGCACUGACCAUGAGGCUGGAAAGGAACCCAGGUGCUGGGCCCCAGCGGUGGCUUUGGGCCCUCAGGGCCUGUGUCGAGGUGGAGGCUCCAGCCGCCAGGAGUCCCUACCUGAGUGGACUCCCACGUGUCGGCUUUCCUGUGUCCCUGGGUGUGCUGGCUCUUGUCUCCCCAUAGAUGCUGGUGAGGGGUACGAUCUCCCUGUGGCUCUUCCUGCUGCAGCUGGAGCAACCAUCAGCCAACAGGUCCUCACUGGACAGAGCCCAGCGUCAGCGUCUGGACUAGGGACACUGCCACUCCUGCUGCCGCAAGCCCAGGGCCUGUCAGUCCUUAGAAGCAGUCACAGCCAGGGGACUGUUGGCCUAGCCGCUGCUGGCCAGAGGCAGGAGCACCCUGCAGGUCGAGAUGGUGCUCGGUGACUUAGUAAUUCUUGUGUUUUGCUUUUUAAAUUGAAGUUUGAAGGAGUGAGAGUUUGAUGUUUUUCUGUGAUUAUUUUUUAUUUAAUUCUUUCUCUGGAUCAUAAAGUGAAAGUAUUUAAAUUCAUAUUUUAGGAGACAAAAGAAGCUUAACAUCUUUCAUCCACUUUCAGCAUUUUUGCUAAUUUUUUUUAAAAACAAAAUAUUUUGUUCUGGCAUCCUGAAGGGUGCAAUUUCAUGAGUCAGGAGAAUAAAUAACAGAUAAAAAUAAACCUAGUUCUCAGCAAAGGUGAGGUGAGUUCCCCAUGAUGGAGGCGUCAGGCACAGAUGCGACCCACAGCCUCAGCACAGCCCCACAGAGCUGGAGGGGCUGUCCCAGACCCUCAGGGACACCCCGGCACCUGCCACCUGAAGGGGACCUGCAGCCCUGUGCCAUCCCACCUUAUGGCCUCAGGUGCUCAGCUUGUGUGUGAGGGUCUUCCUUUGGGAGUUCAGGCACCCAGGGCCCCAGAGCCCCAGUCAUGGAGAUGACAUGGCGAAGCCAGUGAUCUUGAUGAUGACAACUUCUUGAUUGUCACCAUGGAUGUGUCAGGCGGGUGAUCAGCACUUUGCAUGCAUUACCUGAUCCCAUCCUCCUCCCGCAGCUUUAUGGAGUUAUGAUUGACAAAAAUUAUAUACACUUAGGCUGCACACGGGGUGUUGGGGUACAUGUAUACAUCGCGGAGUGAACUGCACCAUCAAGCUAAUUAGCAUAUCCAUCACCCCACUCUAGGUCUUUUCCCUUGUUUAUGAGAACACCCAACGACCUACUCCCUUGGCAACUUUGGGGUGCAGGAUGCAGGUGAACUGCAGUCCCCACCCAUGCGUUGGAGCCCAGAACUUACUCAUGCGCUUAACAGAAGCUUCACGCCCUCUGAUCCACGUCUCCCGUGCUUUCGAGGUUAGCUUGCCUCUCUGAUAGAGAAAAGUGACACCUCUGCUGUGGUGUCACUGGGACAGCCGAGGAGGUGCUCACAAACCUUCCUCAGGAGCGAAGGUGCAGUCAGCGGCAGCAGUCACCCUGGGAGCACCGGGUCACACCCUCUGCAGGUGUCCUGGAAAGACCCCUUGAGCCUGAUUGUCAGGAGACAGCCCAGGAGGUGGCUCUGGGGGCCACCUGAAAGGGACAGAGGGAGGUCACAGUAACUCUAGUCCCCCAGGAGCCCCAGAAGCACAUGUUGUCCUUCCCACAUCCAAGUCCAAGGCAUCUGUAUUCAAAAUUAGGACAAGCUCACAACCUUCCGGACUUCCACAGGCAGGACUCUGAUUUAAGGCUGAGCAGUGAUCAGGAGAGGGCACUUCUAGGGUCCAGAUUAGUGGAGCAAUUGCUGACAGUGGCCAGCAACUCUCCAGGCUGCACCCCUGCCCAGUGCCAUCCUCAGGCGUGUGGCAGGAAGGGGGAUUUCCACACUCAUGUCACAUUUCUGAGGUCGUCACAGGGUUGGGUGCCUUGGACCAACUGUAACCCUAACCCUAAUCCUCCCAGCACAAAAGUGCUGCAAUGCGGGUCAGACCUGGGGCUCCUUGGGCCUCUGCCCAGGGCGGGUGGUGCCCUGGGACAGGGUUCGGUCCUGAUAGCUCCUCACCCGCUUCCUGCAGAGAACACACGGCCCAGUCCCACCUCCCUGGGUCCUGCCUCCCUGGGUGACCUGCUCAGCUCAGCCUUGCCCACAGGGCAGAGGCCAGGCCUAACAGAUGCCCGGCACUUGGCUGCACCUCCCCUACAGGGCUGCCACCCUGCUGCUGCCCCUGGUGGCCCUGGCUGGCUGGGAGGGGGUGUGUGCCUCUCUCUGGCUGCUUGCUGGGGUGUUUGUCCUCCCCUGAGUAUUGAUUGGGAUUCUAAAGAGCCUGAUGUUGGGGCUGGUCAGGGCCCCCUGGCCCACAGUGGGGUGAUCACAGUAAUGGGCAGGAACCCCUACUGGCACAGGGUGUUAGGCUGACGUGGUCACCACAGACACGUCCAAGGGAGACUUUCUGAACAGGUGCCAGUCUGUCUUUGGGCACUUUAAUUACAGCUCCAAGUUUGGCAGGGGAGUUGUUACUACUGACUUAGUCCCGCUCUGGUAGCUCUGGAUGGGCUGAGGCUGCCCUGGACAGGAGGUGGAUUUUGUGGGGUCAUUUGAGCUGGGUCCUGGGUCUGUGACUGGGUGACACCAUCUCAUUCUGCUGCCUGGCUGGGACCCAGUUUUCUAAUGACAAAGAGGGAGACCUCAUCUUGUUUAUCCACUUAGUGAUUCCAAAACCUCUGGGGACUUGUAUGUGUCUAAAAGUGGGGACCCCGGGCCUCCAGGGCUUCAGGAUUCCAGGGGAACUCGGGGCAAGAAGGAGGCUGCGGAUGGAGGGCACCCA
rnacentral:lncRNA from 1 species